UAAACGUCUUUUAAAGCGAUCCCUGCAUACUCGACUCGAUAAGACUAGUGGCGACCUCUGUACCAAAGAUGAGACAAAGUAUUUAAAAAAAUUAAAAAUGUUACAGUUGUAUGUUUAUAAUUUGAAUUGU